rnacentral:rRNA from 1 species
UGCCAUAUCAAUAAGCGGAGGAAAAGAAACCAACAGGGAUUGCCUCAGUAGCGGCGAGUGAAGCGGCAAAAGCUCAAAUUUGAAAUCUGGCGUCUUUGGCGUCCGAGUUGUAAUUUGAAGAAGGUAUCUUUGGGCCCGGCUCUUGUCUAUGUUCCUUGGAACAGGACGUCACAGAGGGUGAGAAUCCCGUGCGAUGAGAUGACCCGGGUCUGUGUAAAGUUCCUUCGACGAGUCGAGUUGUUUGGGAAUA